AAAAAAAAAAAAAGGAAGAAAAAGAAAAAGAUGUGAGGAUUAAAUGAGAUGAUGUAUGAAAGGGGCUUAACACAAUGAGUAACCCACCGUAAGCUCUUGAUUGAGUGUAGCUAUUGUUAUUUCCAUUAUUACUAGCUGUGAAGGAAAAAUGAAUAGCAUUAUGGGGGUACAUGUAUGUGCACACGGGUGUGUGUGUAUAUGCAGAGACACUGUGCUAACCUGGAACUCACCUGCUGUAUGUAGGACUCUACUAGUUGCUGAAGGCUCUUGGUUAAAAUGAACCUUAGCAUAACAUUUUCCCACAGAGAGCAACUGCCCUUUGAUUUAUUGAUUGCAUAAACUGUGAUUUAUCACAGAACAUGUUUGUUUCUAUCUGCACUUGGAAGUGAAGCCAGUGCUGCUGAUGACCGUGAAAAAUUAUAGAAUGUCGAAAGAAGUGCAGGCCCAUAAAAUGAAAUUUUAUGAGUUAGAGCAAUGCAGUUAUUCGAAAAAAAAAUUGUCACUGCAGAAGAGGAAAAUGGGAGGGGGUGAUAUGGAGAUGUUUUGUGUAGUGUUUUACAUUAGUCAGACUUCUGGGUAAAAUAUUAUAAAACAUUUGGGGGCAGGAGGAGAGAGGGAGAAUCAGUUCAAUAGAAGGAAAGGAGCUAUUUGAUUUCUGAGUCCACUACAAUGAAGAAAAUGGAGGCUCUUGCCUAAGAUCAUGAGACAGAUGAUGUGGCAAGAAAACUCUUGCCAGAUGCUGGCACCUUGAUGUUGGCACCAGCCUCCAAGACUCUGAUAAGUGCAGGGAGCAACUCCUCCACUGGGCUUUCUUCUUCCUGAUGGAACAGAUGAAGGAGGUUAGUGGGAUGAUUUACAGAUGCCCUGGCUGCUGUUGACCUUGGUGCCACAGCUGGUAAGUACCCUCUUCUUCAUCCAUUAUCCAUUCUAAAUCCCUCUCAUCCUGAGUUGUUACCUUGACGGGUCAUGGUAGCCUAUCUGGUAGUGUGAUCCAGAUCUUUGUAUCUGAACCACAUGAAAAGUUGAUUUUCAUACCCUUCUUAGUGUAGGGAUGUUGCACCUGUCUGUUCACAGUUAAUACGCAGUGCCAGGAGGUUGUUCCAUAGAUCGCUUGGGUUCCCCAUGUAUCCUUCCUGUCUCCGUUGUGUAAAAGCAGCUCUACCCUCCUGCUGGUCGAGGACAAUUACAUAUCAGUAUGGUAAUUCUUUUCACCUGCAAUCCCACGGCAAAGGGUGGAAAGUGCCCUGCUGACAGCCAUAACUUGUACUUCAA
rnacentral:lncRNA from 1 species